GGGAAUUGGAGUCAUCUAAAGGCUCAAUAAUAUACCGAAAAAUGUAAUCCAAGCAAUGAUCAAAGGAUCAGAUGCACCACAGUUUGCAUUUGUACUGAAAGAAAGAUCUAUUUAUUUGAUUGACAAAUUUCAAGUGAUGAAAGCUAAUAACAACUUAAAUGCUCUUCUCGGAGAUAUAAUGGUUAUCUUUUCAAGACUGGCAAUAGUGAAAGAGGUCCAUGACCAUGUUAUUAGAUAUCCAUUCUAUCAUUCUAACUUCAUACAGUACAGUGCCCUUCAUGAUAGAAUACAUCAAAAGAAAGUCUCGACAGAUUUUAUUGGACUGUUAAAGACAAUGAGUCUUGUAACAAAAGUCCAACUCAACAACAAAGAUUUGUUUGUGCAGAAGCAAGACAUAUAUAUUCAAAACACGAGACUUUGAAAGAUGUAUUAUACGGGGCUUAGCAUUGAACAUUGAAGAAAAAAAAUUGCUUUAUCGAAGCACAAAUACUGUGCUUAUCUUUGUUGGAGUGAUAAUCAAAAGUUACAUGUGUAAGUACAAUAUAGAAA